rnacentral:lncRNA from 1 species
AGAGCCCUGGGAGCUGUCGUCACUCUCCUGCUCUGGGGUCAGCUUUUUGCUGUGGAAUUGGGCAAUGAUGCCACAGACAUUGAAGAUGACAGCUGCCCAAAGCCCCCAGAGAUUGCAAACGGCUAUGUGGAACACUUGGUUCGUUAUCGCUGCCGACAGUUCUACAAACUACAGACCGAAGGAGAUGGUAAGGCUGUUUGAGCAUGCCUCCAUCACACCCCUGGCCCUGUUUGAUGGGUAGGGCUAGGCUGUCACACCAGAAACUUAAGUACUGCCUGGAACCAGGGGAUUAAGAUUGGAAUAAAGUUUCUGUCUCCCAUUGGUGGUCCUCCUACCAAA